rnacentral:rRNA from 1 species
GAUGAACGCUGGCGGCGUGCCUAAUACAUGCAAGUCGAGCGAACAGACGAGGAGCUUGCUCCUCUGACGUUAGCGGCGGACGGGUGAGUAACACGUGGAUAACCUACCUAUAAGACUGGGAUAACUUCGGGAAACCGGAGCUAAUACCGGAUAAUAUAUUGAACCGCAUGGUUCAAUAGUUAAAGACGGUUUUGCUGUCACUUAUAGAUGGAUCCGCGCCGCAUUAGCUAGUUGGUAAGGUAACGGCUUACCAAGGCAGCGAUGCGUAGCCGACCUGAGAGGGUGUUCGGCCACACUGGAACUGAGACACGGUCCAGACUCCUACGGGAGGCAGCAGUAGGGAAUCUACCGCAAUGGGCGAAAGCCUGACGGAGCAACGCCGCGUGAGUGAUGAAGGUCUUCGGAUCGUAAAACUCUGUUAUUAGGGAAGAACAAAUGUGUAAGUAACUAUGCACGUCUUGACGGUACCUAAUCAGAAAGCCACGGCUAACUACGUG